CCAUUAACGGCUGGGUCAUCUCCUUCGUUUAAAUAGGAAACCCAUUAGCGUGGGAUGGGCCCCAUUUGAUGGUCUAGGACGUCCGUCAGGUGGACCAUUAUACCAGAAAACCAUCCAUAUAAACGUUGUAUAGCCAAGCACAAAGGAUUCCACUCGAUCAGCAAUUCUCGGGGCAUUUAGUUGGGGUGAAAACGCAAACUACAGCUAAUCCCGGAUUAGCAUUCUAAAUCCCAACAGGUUGCUAACGUGGCUUAUAAAAGCCGUCCUGUUAGGGCAACAUUCGCGGUUAGACAUGAGAGGAGAGAGAGAGAGAGAGAGAGAGAGAGAGAGAGAGAGAGAGAGCCAGCCGCUGGAACGAGUUCCAGCUGCUGUUGCGGCCCAACUCUGUCCCAACAGGGGACGAGUCAGAAUCGGACCUGACCUGCUCCAUCCAGAAGAAGAUUUAGAGGAGUGGAAGCUGCUGGUAAGCCAGCUAGGUCGACUCCGCACCCACUGGUCAUCUCAACUCAUGCCAACUCGCCGAUUCCAAUGACAUCAUAUCCCGUGAAGCCAGCCGCACCAGAUUCCUGUUUCACAACUCCGAUUGAGACAAAAAACCUUCCGACGGGACCCACCUCUGCCCAGGCAUCUCAGCAGCUGCCGUUUUACCAAUGUGGUGCCAGGAUCGAGUCAGAUCGACUCGAGAUCGCUCCAGCCUGAUCAACCCAACCCGAAUCCCCAAAAAUCUGGAUGAGUUCACGAACCGGGUCGUGUUCCUGAGAUCAGUGUGCUGAUUUAGUCAGGCACGUUGUGGGAUUCGCUCUGACCUCCCUACACCAUCAUAUAGGACCGUUCCCUAAACAGGUGCUAUUUCCAACUGUUCACCUUGAAGGACACUUCCCUUCAAUCACUUCCAAGAACAAAACUCUUGGACUCAUCUUAUAAGGACUUUAAGCCAAGGGAAACAUCCACCCAAGGUGAGGA